GCCAAAAUACCUAUUCUUAGCCUUUAUGUACUGAUAGGAGAUGGCGUGGGGGCAUGUUAAGUCAGGAAGGACUCUGGCUUCUGGAACCAUAUGCUUGCUGCACCCCACUCCAGUAUCAAUGCCAGGUGGCAGUUUGACUGAAGCAGUACACCUGUUAGACAGUAAUGCAGGUGUCCUAAAAUGAGCUCAGGAGGACAGAAACCUCCCACAGAGCAGGACAAAAGAUAGAUUGAUUUUGAUUUUCAGUAGAAUACAGAAUGUAAAAUGGGGACCUCAUGAUCUUUCUGACGUUUUAUGUUUUAAGCAGGAGAUGUCAGAAUAGUUACCACAGGGGUAACUGGCUUCUGGCAAAAAGUGUUUAUGGUAACAUAGCUUUUUACCCUUCAAUGUAUAUCCUUUCUAUAAUUAUGAAUUCACCAAACAUUGGGUUGUUCACCCAUUAAAUAAAUAAAUAAAUAAAUAAACAAGCAAACAAUAUUUUUUAC
rnacentral:ncRNA from 1 species